AACUGAUAUAUUGACGCGUCCGAGGGGCAAUAUAUCAGUUAUAAACCGACUUACUCGGUUUAUAACUAACUUAUAUCACACUUGCGGAGGUUUUCCAACAUAUUUUGUCAUUUUCAAAAAUUUUUAAUGAAAAAUUCUCGCGUUUUGUCUACAAGUUUAAUCCAAUCAUUUAUUCAAGGUCUAUAAGCUAGUUAUAAACCUCGGACGAACAAAGAAAACCGACGCAAGUGCGAUAUAAGACUGAAUAUAACUCCAAUGACAGUGUUUCUCUCAAAAUGUCAUCAGAAGUCUCGACGAAACCAGGUCAAGGCAUGCUGAAUUGUUGUCUUUAUUUCAAUCUCAAGAUGCUCUGGUGCCCUGGACAAGAAACUAACUUAACAGGAGAUAGUCUUUUUACAACCACAAAUGAUCUAAAACAUAAUAAAUGUUAAACACUUUAGACUAACUAUAUAUAACAUCAUUUGCGCAAAAUAUUCACCAUGUGUGUGAACAUAUUAAUUUGUACUUUACUAGGCUAUAUACCUGAAUUAUUUGCCUUGCGUCUGUUAGUUGUACUUUAGUCAGGGGGACAAUUCUAGCCAUGUAAAUUGUAUAAACAGUUUCUUCCUUCAAUAUUCUUUCCAUUUUACGAGGUUUUGUCAAUGAAAAUAAGAUAUAGCACGAAUCUUCAAAACGGGCUCAAUCAAAACACUAUAGGUUCGCAGAUGCGUGAAAACCCGGUCAAUGUUUACGGAUAAAAUUCACCGACUUUCUUUCACUCUGAGUCGGUGGAUCUGUUCCUUUGUUGGGAAAUAUAUGCAUGGGUAUUCCUUCAGGCUGUUCAGAAUUCGUGCAAUAAUCUAAGUUAGAACUGCCAGAAACACGGUCUUCGUCUCCGCGUUUGUUGGUUUUACCAUA